GGGGGGGGCCGGCUGCUCGGGGAUAGGCUGGGCAUCGGUCAGCGUGUGGGUAGCCGUCAGGAAUUAGAAAACUUCCUGCUACCAGUUGGAGCCUGAGCAAGGAACAGCUGGGGCUGGAGCAAAAACAUGAAGGACAAAACAUGAAGAACAAGAACGUUACUGGGAGUAAUCAUCAAGGAUCCACAAAGACUGAGCGCUGAAUGCUGGAGUUACCCUUCAUUGUACUGCACUGAUGAGGUAGUAGUUUCAAUUGCUUCACAUCAAGAGGGUAGUAAAAGCUUUCAAGAGGAUACUGAUGCAUCAGCUGGAGAGAAACAUGACCUUAAAAGUGAUUACAUUCCCAGUAAUUUCUCUAAAGAGAAAAGAGAACAUAUAUAUAUAUGUAUAUGCAUAUAUAUACGUAUUUGAAGAUGGAAGGAAGCAACCACAGUCAAGUGAAGAAAGUCUGACUUCACGACAGAAAACUGUAAAAAGAAUGACUAAAAGCAAUCAAUUUCUAAUGAUGUAACAUUUUUAUGCCACUGUGUUGUCCGUUAUGUAGUGACAAUUUCUGAAGUAUCACUUCCUCAAAUAAAGUAUACUGAGGUCCUUUUUAGAUUCCUGUUACUGUUUAAUGUGUUGUAGACUAUCCAAAAGCAUCUCAUCCUAUUCUAUGGUAUUUUAAUUGGUGGUAUUAUACAUUUUAAGUAUUAAAAAGAAAAUUCUCAGAAGUUUACAGAAAUAAAGUAACAUUUUGUUAUUUGAGACCACUUAAAGCCUUUAUAUAUAAAGUAUAAGGGAAGGAAUCUUUACUUCUUGUUUCUAAGUUACACCUUUCAAACACACUAAAGAAGUACAAUGUAUCAUGACAAACAAAAGGUCUCCUUAGGAACAAACAGAACAGAUUGUGUAGUUCUGGUUCCAGAUUUCCAUUCUCUUCAUUCCUAACUCCUAGUCAUUCUGCAAGUAGUAUAAUUCAUAAUUCAUUCAAGCAGUGGUGAAGCAAUAUGAACUGAAUGUGUUUUGAGUGCUUCUGUGUGUUUCAGUUGAUCUAAACUAGGGAAAGACU